rnacentral:rRNA from 1 species
AUUGAACGCUGGCGGCAGGCCUAACACAUGCAAGUCGAGCGAGCGGCGGACGGGCGAGUAAUGUCUGGGAAACUGCCUGACGGAGGGGGAUAACUACUGGAAACGGUAGCUAAUACCGCAUACCAUCAGAUGUGCCCAGGUGUGAUUAGCUAGUAGGUGGGGUAACGGCUCACCUAGGCGACGAUCCCUAGCUGGUCUGAGAGGAUGACCAGCAACACUGGAACUGAGACACGGUCCAGACUCCUACGGGAGGCAGCAGUGGGGAAUAUUGCACAAUGGGCGCAAGCCUGAUGCCGCCAUGCCGCGUGUGUUAAGAAGGCCUUCGGGUUGUAAAGCACUUUCAGCGGGGAGGCGUUACCCGCAGAAGAAGCACCGGCUAACUCCGUGCCAGCAGCCGCGGUAAUUC